UACAGAGGGUGCAAGCGUUAAUCGGAAUUAUUGGGCGUAAAGCGUGCGUAGGUGGUUUGUUAAGUCUGUUAUGAAAGCCCCGGGCUCAACCUGGGAAUGGCAAUGGAUACUGGCAGGCUAGAGUGCGGUAGAGGGUAGUGGAAUUCCCGGUGUAGCGGUGAAAUGCGUAGAUAUCAGGAGGAACACCUGCGGUGUAGACGGCUUACUGGACCAUAACUGACGCUGAGGCACGAAAGCGUGGGUAGCAAACAGG
rnacentral:rRNA from 1 species